rnacentral:rRNA from 1 species
AAGGGGGCGAGCGGCGAACGGGUGAGUAAUGCAUCGGAACAUGUCCAUGUCGUGGGGGAUAGCCCGGCGAAAGCCGGAUUAAUACCGCAUACGCCCGAGAGGGGAAAGCAGGGGACCGCAAGGCCUUGCGCGAUUGGGUUGGCCGAUGUCCGAUUAGCUUGUUGGUGAGGUAAAGGCUUACCAAGGCGAUGAUCGGUAGCUGGUCUGAGAGGAUGAUCAGCCACACUGGGACUGAGACACGGCCCAGACUCCUACGGGAGGCAGCAGUGGGGAAUUUUGGACAAUGGGGGCAACCCUGAUCCAGCCAUUCCGCGUGAGUGAAGAAGGCCUUCGGGUUGUAAAGCUCUUUUGUCCGGAGCGAAACGGGCGGCCCUAAUACGGUCGUCUACUGACGGUACCGGAAGAAUAAGCACCGGCUAACUACGUGCCAGCAGCCGCGGUAAUACGUAGGGUGCGAGCGUUAAUCGGAAUUACUGGGCGUAAAGCGUGCGCAGGCGGUUUUGUAAGCCAGAUGUGAAAUCCCCGGGCUCAACCUGGGAAUGGCAUUUGGGACUGCAAGGCUGGAGGGUGGCAGAGGGGACUAGAAUUCCUGGUGUAGCAGUGAAAUGCGUAGAUAUCAGGA